GAGCCAGGAACGCCCGAGCCUUCUUCCUCCUUCGGCUCCCCGGCUCCCCCACUGGAGCGCCGCCACGGCCACCAUGGCCGCCAUUCCUCCUCCGGCUCCGGGGGCCUCUCACGCUCCUUCGACUCCUUUACCACCUCCAGGGCCCCCCAUCUUGGCGAAUUCCUUGGCCCCUUCCUCGAUUCUCUCUCUCCAGUCAACAUCCCCCAAGGCCAGCGACGGGAAGCCGCGGGCUAGGCCAGCAACGGCGCCAAGCAAACUAGGUUUAGAUGGCGGAGAACCACCUCCUGGAACGGACGGCGUGGGGAGGGUGGGCAGCCAAGAGAUCGAUGGCGGCGAACCAGAGCGUGGCAAGGACGGCGGCGGUGAUGCCCAGAUGCGUAUAGACGUGGGCGGCGGGAAGCGGCCGCAGAGCAAGAAGCCUAACGGGAGCUCCCUCGUCCCCACCAUCAUCAAGGUAAGGGUUGGGACCCUAGUUCCCUUCGCUCAAGGCAAAUCUGGGCCAUCGAAUGCCUCACUGCUAAGCAUUCCCAUCUUUGAGGGUUCCAAUGUCGUUGGGAGGAGUAAUUUGGUGGUUGUCGACAAGAGGGUCAGCCGCAAGCAUUUGAGUCUGCGCGCCUUGGCGGAUGGCUCCGUCGAAGUUGUCGUGGAGGGGCCAAAUCCCAUUGUUGUCCGGUCAGACGGGCAGGCGAGAAAGGUUUGUGCUCAGGGUAGAGCCAAGAUUAUCUAUGAUGAUGUCCUGGAGCUUAUUCCCGGCGAUUAUCUUAUGAAGUAUGUGGCUAUGAGUGAUGAGCGUAAAAGCUCCGCUUCAGUGGAUUCAAAUGACUUAAAGAAGGGAAAGAGGCAUAGCGAGGAAGAUAGCGUAGUUGCAAAGAGGAAUCGGCAAGUCAUGGAAGAUGAGGCUUUGGCAAGAACAUUGCAGGAAAGUUUUGCAGAAGAGGGUACAUCUGUUCCUGGCAUGGCUUGUGGUCAAGCAUUAAGUUCACUUGAUAGUGCUGGUUCUUCUGAGAGAAAUAACAAGAGAACGCAUUCUGCCGGUCCUUUGAAAGAUGUACUCCCAUUGACUUUUCGACUCAUGCGUGUCCAAGGUCUUCCUUCAUGGACUAACAGUUCCGCAGUUACCAUUCAGGAUGUCAUUCAGGGUGAUGUGCUUUUUGCUGUACUCUCAAAUUAUAUGGUCGACAUUGAUUGGUUGCUUACCGCAUGUCCAAGUCUAAGGAAAGUUCCACAUGUCCUAGUUCUCCAUGGAGAGGAUGGUGCUUCAUUGGAGCAUUUGAAGAAAUCAAAGCCUGCUAAUUGGAUCCUUCACAAGCCUCCGCUCCCAAUUUCAUUUGGAACACAUCAUUCAAAGGCCAUGCUGCUUGUAUAUCCUCAAGGGAUUCGUGUUGUUGUUCACACUGCAAAUUUGAUACAUGUUGACUGGAAUAACAAAAGUCAGGGACUAUGGACGCAAGAUUUUCCCUGGAAAGAUGCAAAUGAUAUGAAUACAAAUAUUUCUUUUGAGAAUGACCUGGUUGAUUAUCUCAGGGCACUUAAGUGGCCUGAGUUCAGGUUAAAUCUCCCAGUUGCUGGUGAUGUCAACAUCAAUGCAGCAUUCUUUAGGAAAUUUGAUUAUAGUAGCUCAACGGUCAGGUUGAUCGGGUCUGUUCCUGGUUAUCACGUGGGCCCCAAUAUGAAAAGGUGGGGCCAUAUGAAGCUUAGGAGUGUUCUUGAAGAGUGUGUAUUUGAAAAGCAAUUUUGUAAGUCACCACUUAUUUAUCAGUUUUCUUCCUUGGGUUCACUUGAUGAGAAAUGGAUGAGUGAGUUUGCAUGCUCGUUAUCAGCUGGUAAAGCAGAGGAUGGAUCACCGUUGGGUAUCGGUAAACCACUGAUUGUCUGGCCUACAGUGGAGGAUGUUAGGUGUUCAAUAGAGGGGUAUGCAGCUGGUAGUUGCAUUCCAAGUCCUCAGAAGAAUGUUGAGAAAGAUUUCUUGAGAAAAUAUUGGUCCAGGUGGAAAGCAGACCAUGUAGGCCGUUGAAGAUUUGCUUGGGCUGUUUAGUUUUCUCCCAUGGUAGCCAUGAUUGGAAGAUUUGUAACUUGGCACUUGGCAGUAAGUAUACACUGAUACCUGUUGUUCUUUGGCCUUUAUAUUUGUGUUAACUAACCUUUAAAUUAAUUUUUGCCAAGAUAUAGCACUUGAAGAGAAAGCUUUCUAUUCCAUAUUUCCAAGUAAUGGAGUAUUAUGAGUAAUAGAGCUAAAGGAUGGAGAUGAGUUUCUUUUUAUCCUGCAAUAUUCUGUCAUUACACCUAAAGCAAGAAGAUUGAUCUACAUGGCAUGCCUGUGGCUUUGUGGUGUAGAGACUUACUAGUUUCAUUGCAUCUGGAGUGCUUGGCAAAAUAAGGUCUUAAAAAUCCUCUACCAGGUGGAUUUUGCUUUAGUUGCAAUGAAUGAUCCCAUUAUAACCUGAAAAAUACAACUUCUUUGUAGUAUUAUUAGUAUGUAAUAUAAUCAUUAUGACUAUAUAUUCUGGACUACUCAGUUCAAGUAAACAUCUUUAGUUGAUAUCGACAUCGACUGCAAAAGAUUGGCAUCCUUACUUUCUGAAUCUUUCAGUUUUUCUUCUUUUGAACCAAGUUCUUUUACUACUGACUGAAACUGAUAUUCUCAUCUUGAUUUUUGUAUCAGCCGUGCUAUGCCUCACAUAAAAACUUUCACUCGUUACAAUGGUCAAAAUAUUGCAUGGUUUCUGCUUACCUCAUCAAAUUUAAGCAAAGCUGCUUGGGGUGCACUGCAGAAGAACAACACGCAG